UUGACCAAAACACCUAACCUAAAGUUGCCCCAAAGAGUGAAGCAAUUGUGGUUAGAUUGGUCCCAUGGGAGCAGCGCUGCCAUCUAGUGAUGAGGGAUUUAUCAUUGCAGUGUUUUAGUUGGAACCCACUAAAUCAGAGCACUGCUGGUACACUCUCUGCAUGAAAGUAUGUCAGUGAACUAACUGUCAUUACCAGAGAUUAGGAUGCUUUUCCCAGAUAGUGAUGGUUUUCUCUUAAGCCUCUGAAACAUUAUUUUGGAGUUUAUAAUUCAAAAGGAUAUUUUAAUCAAAUAAGUCUUGCUUGGAACAUCUCAAGUCACAGUCUCUUAUCAAAAGUUUCUGCAGUACCCUGUAAACCAAAACUCCACAGCAAUAGUAUGGCACACAUGAUAUGAUAUUAAAAGGACAUUGCUAGACAAUCAACACAGGAAACAUUUGAGAUGUCACAAUAUCAGAUGAUCUUAUGCAUCAUGUGCAUCAUUUCUUCUUUAAAUUUUUACUUUUAGCUUAAAGUAAAUCAGAAAGAAGAAGUAGUGAAAGAGAGGGAGAAGGAGAGUCCCGUGGUUUUUCUCUAUUUCUGAAUCCUUUUAUAAAAAAGUUAAGAUGAUGACAUCUGACCAGCAGUUAUCCCUGAAGUUGCAGAUGUCUGCACUUUUCUAGCUGGCAGAAAUGUUUGACUGCUGGUUAUGAAACACACAGGCUGUGUAUGUAUCCACUGCUGUGAAGCAUUCAGGCAGUUUUAUUCAGUGUAUCUGUUCCCAAUCUUUGAUCUCUAAAUGAAGUCAGAUUACAUACUUUUAGGGUAUCUAAGAUCAGCCCUAACUUGGUCCCUCAAGAUCAUUAUAAACAGACAUGAGAAGGAUUAACCUUCAAGUCUAAGAGCAGGUAACUAAACAUUUGACAUUAAGAAAUUGAUAUAUAUAAUUCUGUCAUUUCUAGUGGAAGACUGAGAUAUCUCACCUCUGCAUAGUGACCACGAGGACAUUCAAUGCCAAACUGAAUCUCCACUUUUUUAGUUGAUGUUGUGCUUUCGUAGAGAAAUAUUUCACAUUCUCAGCAAAGAUGUGCAAAAGUAAAGGAUUUGGAAAAGUCUGGGAAAUCAGCUCUAGCCUGAGGCACCCUAAUCCAGUCCCACAUGCUCUGAUAAGAAAUAUAAACAGCAUCCCUAAAACCAACUUUAAUCCUUCAAACAGCUCUUUUAGAUCCAAGCAUUCAGCGUUGACAUUUCUUUAAGGUUUUGUUUGGCCACUUAAUGCUUCAUACUUUGGACUUACAUCCAUAAAUAAAUCUACAGAGUCCACAGCUGCUCCAUAUGAGCCUGAAUAUUUAGACAGCAAACAUAAAGGAGCUGAGGGGAACACUCUAUACUGGGCACUGGACCAACAGUCUCCGCUCAGGAUCCUUGUAUCUGCUUACUCUGAAGCUCUGAACCAUUUGGCACUUCUCUUCAUCCCCAUAUAGGUUUGCUCAAUAGGAGUCCAAAGCCAAGCAUCAGUAUGUUGGACAGUGCAGCAGUGUAUUAACUGUAUUAUCCUCUCCAGACUUGAGCGGCUCUGCGUUGUGACUAGAAGUCAUGUGGCUGAAGACCUUUUCUGAACUUCUUUGUCGUUGGUAUCUCUGGACUGUACACACGCAUGGACACAUGCGGGGGUGAUGUUAACUCUAGGUCAGUGGUUUUAGGAAGUGCGUAGACUGGCUUGCGUGUCAGAGAGUGUGCAUGUGGUAGCUGUGUCUUGUGAUCAGGCGAUGGUGAAACAUAUAUUUUGGCCCCUCAUGAGUGUUUGUGUAUUGGAAGUAAGACUUCCGGCACUGAUUUACAUCUCUGCCCUCAGCUACAAGCAUCAUUUUGAAAAAAAAAAAAACAGCAUAAAAAAUUUAGCACGGGUAGUUUCUGGGCCAACUGAUAAUGAUUGUACAAUAGGGUGAGCCUUGUUAACUGCAGUGUUUCUUCAGUGUCUUACUUUGAUAAUACUUUCUUUUUUUUUAUUGGAGGAAAUACUUCAGACCCGAGUGAGAAAGAAAUCUACCCAUUAAGAGUCAGACAUGAAUAGAUUGGAGAGCUGUAAGAGACCUUUUAAAAGAGUCAGAAACACUUGGACAUUGUGGAUCUAUACUUGGACUAUUGGGCAGGUUCAAUGUGAGGAAUAGCUUGGGAUUGUAGGCAAUCUUAGAUUAUAAAGGCCCAGCAAGGACUGAAAUGCUCCUUCAUAUGCUUUUAAUGUGUAGUAUGCUCCUAACACUGUUCAGCAGCUUCACUCUGGAGUCUGUCAUUACCCAUGCUGCUGUCACCUGGGCUGUUAUCUCAAAGCUGAGACCAACCGAGUCACAGCAUAUAAUUAAAGUGACCAUUGAGAUCACUGGUGAUAAACUGGCUGUUUUAAGCGGGGUGAAGCUUUAGACAUUUCACAGUGCGCUUUUCAUCAUCCAUCUGAAAAAUUCAGGUUCUUACUUUCUAAAAGGAGAUUUGGAUUUCCAUUGACAAGACUUGACAGGUUGAAUACUACAUUUUAUCUUCAUUCAUAAAACAAAAAGAUUCUGGUGAGAAUUCAGAUAUUUUGUAAAAGUGCGUUACUCGUUUUAAUAAGUUAUUCUUGUCACAUGAUGCAUUCCAGUAUUUAUGUGUCUUACUUUAAAUUUUGGACAAAGUCUGGCUUAAAUUGUCAAGUUGCGAUACCAAAUUCAAUUUCCUGAAUUCAAGAGCAGUGAAGUUAGUUGAAACAACAUUUAAAAGUGCUCUUUGAAAUCUCUGUCUCUGUUAAUCUUUCUGAUUCGACCUCACAGCUGCACCUUGAAGACCCUGGCUUAUUAUGAGUUUCAAUUAAAGUAGUGUCUGAAAUUUCACACUUGAUUAUUAAAACAUCUCACAGCACUCUGAAACACAGCUCUGUGAUUUAUCAGCUUUUAGCAUGUGCAACAAUCAAGUGAACACUCUUGGUUUGCUAAAUCUUUAAAUGCAAACCAGACUUCUGAUUAAGAGACUUUUCAGGCUCAGCUGGAAGUCAGAGGUUCAGUUUCUGUGUCUCGGUCAAACACCCUGAACUUCUCAGGAGAUAAGGAGAACUCACGGUGAAUUUUUCUUCUUCAGCAUCACGAAAUGUCAUGAGUUCCUGCAGCAUCCUUUGUUAGGAGUGCUUGUCUGGAUAACACCACUCAAGCGCCCUUUGUUCUUUUGGAGUCAGACAUGAUAGCCAGUAGGUCACAUGACCUUUUGGCCAAAAAAGAUCUUGCCAACCUUACCAGCAUCCUUCUCUGGAUGCAUCAGUGGGUCUUAUUGUUUCAUUGACUCUGCUGACGUGUCCUCUGGCAAUGCAGGAGUGUUGACUUUCUGCAGUUAUAAUCCCGCAGAGG